GUCGAGCGAAUGAUGAAGAAGCUUGCUUCUUCUGAUUUAGCGGCGGACGGGUGAGUAACACGUGGGCAACCUGCCCUGUAGAUUGGGAUAACUCCGGGAAACCGGGGCUAAUACCGAAUAAUCCAUUUCCUCACAUGAGGAAAUGUUAAAAGACGGUUUCGGCUGUCACUACAGGAUGGGCCCGCGGCGCAUUAGCUAGUUGGUGAGGUAACGGCUCACCAAGGCGACGAUGCGUAGCCGACCUGAGAGGGUGAUCGGCCACACUGGGACUGAGACACGGCCCAGACUCCUACGGGAGGCAGCAGUAGGGAAUCUUCCACAAUGGACGAAAGUCUGAUGGAGCAACGCCGCGUGAGUGAAGAAGGUUUUCGGAUCGUAAAACUCUGUUGUGAGGGAAGAACAAGUACGAGAGUAACUGCUCGUACCUUGACGGUACCUCAUUAGAAAGCCACGGCUAACUACGUGCCAGCAGCCGCGGUAAUACGUAGGUGGCAAGCGUUGUCCGGAAUUAUUGGGCGUAAAGCGCGCGCAGGCGGUCCUUUAAGUCUGAUGUGAAAGCCCACGGCUCAACCGUGGAGGGUCAUUGGAAACUGGGGGACUUGAGUGCAGAAGAGGAAAGCGGAAUUCCAAGUGUAGCGGUGAAAUGCGUAGAGAUUUGGAGGAACACCAGUGGCGA
rnacentral:rRNA from 1 species